rnacentral:rRNA from 1 species
UACGGAAGGGGCUAGCGUUGUUAGGAAUUACUGGGCGUAAAGAGCGCGUAGGCGGCUUACCAAGUUGGGGGUGAAAUCCCGGAGCUCAACUCCGGAACUGCCUUCAAAACUGGUAGGCUCGAGUCCGGAAGAGGGGCGUGGAAUUCCCAGUGUAGAGGUGAAAUUCGUAGAUAUUGGGAAGAGCACCGGUGGCGAAGGCGGCGCCCUGGUCCGGUACUGACGCUGAGGCGCGAAAGCGUGGGGAGCACACAGG